rnacentral:rRNA from 1 species
UCCCGGGAACGUAUUCACCGCGACAUGCUGAUUCACGAUUACUAGCAACUCCGGCUUCAUGCAGGCGAGUUGCAGCCUGCAAUCCGAACUGGGAUCGGUUUUUAAGAUUUGCUCCUCCUCGCGGUAUUGCUUCUCUUUGUACCGACCAUUGUAGCACGUGUGUUGCCCAAGGCAUAAAGGGCAUGAUGAUUUGACGUCAUCCCCACCUUCCUCUAAGUUAACCUUAGCAGUCCCUUUAGAGUGCUCAACUUAAUGUUAGCAACUAAAAGUAGGGGUUGCGCUCGUUGCAGGACUUAACCUAACAUCUCACGACACGAGCUGACGAC